rnacentral:rRNA from 1 species
AACGAACGCUGGCGGCAUGCCUAACACAUGCAAGUCGAACGAGACCUUCGGGUCUAGUGGCGCACGGGUGCGUAACGCGUGGGAACCUGCCCUUAGGUUCGGAAUAACUCCCCGAAAGGGGUGCUAAUACCGGAUAAUGUCUUCGGACCAAAGAUUUAUCGCCUUUGGAUGGGCCCGCGUUGGAUUAGCUAGUUGGUAGGGUAAAAGCCUACCAAGGCGACGAUCCAUAGCUGGUCUGAGAGGAUGAUUAGCCACACUGGGACUGAGACACGGCCCAGACUCCUACGGGAAGCAGCAGUGGGGAAUAUUGGACAAUGGGCGAAAGCCUGAUCCAGCAAUGCCGCGUGAGUGAUGAAGGCCUUAGGGUUGUAAAGCUCUUUUACCCGGGAUGAUAAUGACAGUACCGGGAGAAUAAGCGCCGGCUAACUCCGUG